AGAGUUUGAUCCUGGCUCAGAACGAACGCUGGCGGCAGGCCUAACACWMGMWAGUCGAGCGAGAAGCUAACUUCGGUUAGUGGACAGCGGCGCACGGGUGGGUAACGCGUGGGAAUUUACCUUUCGGCGGGGGACAACAGUUGGAAACGACUGCUAAUACCGCAUACGCCCUACGGGGGAAAGAUUUAUCACCGAAAGAUAGGCCCGCGUUAGAUUAGGUAGUUGGUAGGGUCAAAGCCUACCAAGCCGACGAUCUAUAGCUGGUUUGAGAGAACGAUCAGCCACACUGGAACUGAGACACGGUCCAGACUCCUACGGGAGGCAGCAGUGGGGAAUCUUGCACAAUGGGCGAAAGCCUGAUGCAGCCAUGCCGCGUGGGUGCUAAGGCCUUCGGGUUGUAAAACUCUUUUAGAUGUGAAGAUGAUGACGGUAACAUCAGAAAAAGCACCGGCUAACUUCGUGCCAGCAGCCGCGGUAAUACGAAGGGUGCUAGCGUUGUUCGGAAUUACUGGGCGUAAAGAGCGUGUAGGCGGCUUAGCAAGUUAGAGGUGAAAUCCCAGGGCUCAACCCUGGAACUGCCUUUGAUACUGCUAAGCUUGAGAUCGUGAGGGGAUAGCGGAAUACCCAGUGUAGAGGUGAAAUUCGUAGAUAUUGGGUAGAACACCGGUGGCGAAGGCGGCUAUCUGGCACGAUACUGACGCUGAGACGCGAAAGCGUGGGAGCAAACAGGAUUAGAUACCCGGUAGUCCACGCCGUAAACGAUGUGCACAGCC
rnacentral:rRNA from 1 species